rnacentral:rRNA from 1 species
UACGUAGGCAGCAAGCGUUGUUCGGAGUUACUGGGCGUAAAGGGUGUGUAGGCGGUUCUUUAAGUUUGGUGUGAAAUCUCCCGGCUCAACUGGGAGGGUGCGCCGAAUACUGAGGGACUAGAGUACGGGAGAGGAAAGUGGAAUUCCUGGUGUAGCGGUGAAAUGCGUAGAUAUCAGGAAGAACACCGGUGGUGUAGACGGCUUUCUGGACCGUAACUGACGCUGAGACACGAAAGCGUGGGUAGCAAACAGG